UACAGAGGUGGCAAGCGUUGUUCGGAAUUACUGGGCGUAAAGGGCUGGUAGGCGGCCAACUAAGUCGGACGUGAAAUCCCCAGGCUCAACCUGGGAACUGCGUCCGAUACUGGAUGGCUUGAAUCCGGGAGAGGGAUGCAGAAUUCCAGGUGUAGCGGUGAAAUGCGUAGAUAUCUGGAGGAAUACCGGUGGCGAAGGCGGCAUCCUGGACCGGCAUUGACGCUGAGGAGCGAAAGCCAGGGGAGCAAACGGG
rnacentral:rRNA from 1 species